ensembl:misc_RNA 7SK 7SK RNA
GGAUGUGAGGGAGAUCUGGCUGCAACAUCUGUCACCCCAUUGAUCAACAGGGUUGAUUCCUCUCAUCUGCCUGGCUAGGGGGGUGUCCCUUCCUCCUGCACUGGCAGUGUGUCACUAACAAAGCUGCGGGCUCUGUUGAAGAGGACGGCCUUCCCGGAACAGAGACGGCUAGGUCUUCGGUUGAGGGCAUAUGAGUAGCUGCUCUCCCUUGCUAGAACCUCCAAUAAAGCUCUCAAAAUGUGUUCAAAAUAUUUUCGGAUUACAAACAGAAUUACUCUUCACUAGCAGACACGCAAAGACAAUACAUUAUAGGAAUUUCGUUGU